UAACAAUUCCCUAACUAAACUCCAACAACUACAACUGCUUGUGUAACGGAUAGUUGAGUUGGAUACUCGAUAACAACUCUACAAUUUUAAUCUUUCUUUCCCUUUUAUUCUUGUUGCGUAUCCUUUCAGUACCCACCCCUCUAAAAGCUCCUUGACCUCACGGAACUAAAGAAUGUAGACACGACUCCCUGACAUAUUUCCACACUUGACUUCAUUGUUGACAAGGAGCACAUUUUCUUCACUUGUCUUAGCCCCAUUUCAUACUCAUUCUCCUUAAGCAUUAAAAUUAAACCACCGAAAUUCCCAUCAACGUGAUGCUGCCCAUCUCCCAAUCUCAUCAUAUUCUUAAAUCUCAUUUCUUCUUCAAAUAAAAUUUUCUCACCCAUAUCAUCAAAUUUCCAACAACAGAAGAACAAGAGGUCUAGUUCAAGUUUCAAUUUCAUUCUGUUGUCAGCUUGAAAACUAGGACCCAUUGAAACAGCAUAUGUAUAUGCUUGUUCCCAAAUGGCCUGAGUGUAGCUUUCACAACAGAUAAAUUGUCAGCCACAAGUCCUGAAUCUGCUAACAAACGCCAAGAACCCAUAUCCCUCUUUAGCAUUCUAUCAAACACCCAGUGUCGUACUCCCACAUUUUCUAAAUAUUCCAAUCAAUUCGUUGUUCGUUUCAAUAUCACCUGCAAAGUGAUUGUUUCAAUGACCCAUAUGCCCGUUUACCCAUAUCAAGAGGCAUACUUCUAUUCCUAUUUGUUGUACUUAAUUCAUUCACUUUUUUGAAAAAUCCACCAGGAUCUUCUGCAGCUCUAGCCAAUAGCCAUGCCUUUGGGUAAAGCUCAUCAAAAGGACUGAGAUAAUCUUGCAAGGAAUUUGACUGCUUCAAGUCUUGAAUCUUCCCAAUUGGGUCAUUGAUGGCAUAAUUUCCAAACCUGACCUCCUAUGCAUCGACAUAUUCAUCCCAAUUCCCAUACGCUUCAUUACCCUUCACUUGAAUAACCCCUUGGUGCCAUUUAUUUACUUUUCCUUCCAAAUGCAAAGCUGCAACCUUCACCAUGUUCUCAAGAACUAUUUUCCUCACUUGGAAAAAAUAUUCGCAUCUUAACAACCAUCCCUGUCGUCCUUAACCAUCAAAGCGAGGAAACUUUAAUUUGGUAGUGCUUCCCUAUGGGUUGCCAUCACCAAUAUUCCCUUUGGCUUGCACUUGCUCUACCUUAUCCCUUGUUUCUUCCACUUCCACAUUUGGCCUAUUCAAUCCAGCAAUCAACAUUCUGAGUUUCGCCACCAUAUCUUGCAAUCUGGCUUCUUGUCUUCGCUCAGCUUCAAGAACCAUAGAAGUGAUCUCCUUUCUCCACUCUGGUGAAUAGGUCCCCUCAGCCAUGGAUCAUUGCUCUGAUACAAGAAAUUGAAGCUACAUGCUUCCCUCUAUGAAUCCCUUAGCGAAAAGGCAAACCCAAAUCCUAAACUUUGCUUCCUUCCAUUCUUAGUUUUGAUUUCUUUUCUACAUCCCAUUUGCUGCUGCUAUUGCUCAUUCACUUUUUGGAUUGAGAAGAAAUUUUCCUUCACUUUGCAGGAAGCAAGUGUUGGAAACUCAAAGAAUAAGGUCAAUUUAAUAAUGCCUCCUCGUACUGGUAGCAAGCCUAUGAGAGAGCUCAUUUAUGAAUUGGAUGAGAUUCAAGAAGCAAUGCAAUUGGAGCCCCAUCUUUCUAAUGUCAAAGCUAUUGAAAAGUGUUUUUCUCACACCCGUCCCUAACCUGUAGAGAUUGAUGUAACAUAAAAAACUGAUGGUGUUUCUCUUAAAUUUAUAGCUAAAAGAAAUUAUGAAACUUAUUAAAAUAUAUCUGGUAUAUAAAAUAUGGCUCCGUGCCUAUCAAACAUAUUUAAAUACAACUAUAUAUAUAUAUAUAUAUAUAUAUCCUCUUUGUGAGGAUCAAAAUAAAAUAUUUACAGUUUAGAGCUUUUAACUGUCUAUAUUUAUAUAUGUACAGUAAACUAAAACAAAAUAAAUAUCCAAAGAAAAAUAUUGGCCUGACUUCUACUAGAUUCUAUAGUUGAUGAAGUAGAAGAGAGGAUAAUUCUGAGAGAGAGGGGCUGCUAGUGGCGGAGUUAGCAAAAAUUAAGAAAGUGAGUACAACUACUCAGUGAGUGGACAAAUAAAUAACAUGUUAGUAGUAUGCCUUAUAGCAUAUCAUUUAGUAUGUAUCUUGUACAUAUUUUUAUUAAUAAAAGACUUUUUCACUUUUCCCUUUACAUAA